UACAGAGGGUGCGAACGUUGCUCGGAAUUACUGGGCGUAAAGCGCGUGUAGGCGGGUCGGCAAGUCAGGCGUGAAAUCCCCAGGCUCAACCUGGGAACUGCGCUUGAAACUGCCGGUCUUGAGUAUCGGAGAGGGUGGCGGAAUUCCUGGUGUAGCGGUGGAAUGCGCAGAUAUCAGGAGGAACACCGAUGGCGAAGGCAGGUCUCUGGGCCAUAACUGACGCUGAGAAGCGAAAGCAUGGGGAGCGAACAGG
rnacentral:rRNA from 1 species